UAGGUCUAGCCUCGCGUAAUUGUGUGGCGGGGGUAAAGCACUGAUUGGGCUAGGGACCCUACCAGGUUACCAAACCCUUUCAAACUCUGAAUACCGUUCACAUGUAUCGCGGGAGUAAGGGCGCGAGGGAUAAGCUUCGCGACCGAGAGGGGAACAACCCAGACCGUCAGCUAAGGUCCCAGAGUGUGAGCUAAGUGUAUAAGGAUGUGGGAUCUCACAGACAACCAGGAUGUUGGCUUAGAAGCAGCCAUCAUUUAAAGAGUGCGUAAUAGCUCACUGGUCAAGUAAUCCCGCGCCGAUAAUGUCCGGGACUAAAGUUCACCACCGAAGCUGCGGAUGCGCGAUGCCUUCGGGUGUCGUGCGUGGUAGGGGAGCGUUCUGUUGUAGGAUGAAGCCGAGCCGUAAGGCAAGGUCGACGAACCAGAAGUGAUUAUGCCGGAACGAGUAGCGAGAAACCAGGCGAGAAACCUGGUCACCGAAAACCUAAGGUUUCCUGAGGAAGGUUAAUCCGCUCAGGGUUAGUCGGACCCUUAGCCGAGGCCGAGAGGCGUAGGCGAUGGAAAACAGGUCAACAUUCCUGUACCAGUGCGUUGGCGAUCAAGACGCCAGGGGGUUACGCAGAAGUGAAAGACCAGCCCACGAUUGGAAGUGUGGGUCUAAGCCAGUAGGAGGAUCCUGCAGGCAAAUCCGCAGGGUCAUUACUCCGAGAGGUGAUGGGGAAACGAGCCGCGAGGCAAGCCAACUGGUCCUAAUCAUGCUGCCGAGAAACACCUCUACGCGAGUCGACGCGCUGUCCGUACCGCAAACCGACACAGGUAGGUGGGGUGAAGAUCCUAAGGUGCUCGAGUGAGUCUUGCAGAAGGAACUCGGCAAAAUAGCCCCGUAACUUCGGAAGAAGGGGUACCCCUAGUAGGUGAAGCACCUCGCGUGUGGAGCUGAACGGGGCCGCAGUGAAUGGAGUCAAGCGACUGUUUACCAAAAACACAUGUCUCUGCUAAGCCGAAGAGGCGACGUAUAGGGACUGACACCUGCCCGGUGCCGGAAGGUUAAAGGGCGCGGUCAGCCGCAAGGCGAAGCUGCAAACUGAAGCCCCGGUAAACGGCGGCCGUAACUAUAGUCGAGGACCCCUGUAGUUAUAAAAUCUGGCCAUAUGCUGGAACACCCGGUGUAUCCGGCGCUACUCGCCACGCGACCGAGCGUGGCAGUGAAAAUGCGUCCGGUGCGGGCAAUCAGCAGGAAAGGCUCGAGCGAUGCUCGACCCCAAGUCCGUACCGAUUGAAAUCGGUCACUACUUGGCGGGAUUUGCGGAUGGAGAAGGAAGCUUCAACGUCUCCUUCCGUCCCCGGAGCGACUAUCAGAUCCCGUGGAAGGUCUCCCUCUGCUUCAACAUCUCCCAACGAGACCCGGUGAUUCUCUCGGAGUUUAAGAGGCACCUGAGCUGUGGGACGAUGCGACAGCGACGAGAUGGAGUCUGGUACUACGAAGUGAAUAACUUCACGGCGAUCGCGAACAAUGUGAUUCCGUUUUUCGAUCACUACCGGUUUCUCUCCGCGAAAAAGCAGCGCGACUUUGCGAAGUUCAAGGAGCUCGCGAAUCUUCUCUCGGAAGGACGACACAGGGAACGGAGCGGGAUCACAGAGAUCUUGCGAAUUCGGGCGGACAUGAACGACGGUGGAAAUCGCCAUUACGUGGACGACACGAUCCUCGCAGCGUUCGAGAAUCCUCAGAGACUACACGCCAGACGCGAUCCAAUCGGAUCGCGAUGAUAUAGUCCGGUCUUCGCGGCGACGCGAAGAGCGCGGCAGAAAUGUCCGCGCCCCCGACGAGCAGUCGGGAGUAACAGAGACGAACGGUCCUAAGGUAGCGAAAUUCCUUGUCGGGUAAGUAACAUUGCCCCGAACGGAAGCGAUUCCGUUCAGCAAACCGGCUCAAAUCGGUGGAACCCGAACGAUGCACGCAGGCGCAUCGAGGGCAAUACCGAGGGUAAGAUCACAGCAAUGUGAUCCCCGUAACGACUCAGGGAGUGAGAUCCCUGGAUGGAGCGGCCCAACGCUUCAUAAAACGCCGGCCCUGUCCUUCGUUAGAAAACACGCGAAUGGGAAGAUCCCGAGAGCGGCGAUACUCAAAUCGCUCUGGACAGGUGAACGUAUAGUCUAUGCCGCGAGUAAUCGCGGGCGAACAUGAAGUUCCGACCUGCACGAAUGGUGUAACGACUUGACUGCUGUCUCCUGCAAGAGCUCGGCGAAACUGUAGCAGCGGUGAAGAUGCCGCUUACCCGCGACUGGACAGAAAGACCCCGUGCACCUUUACUGUACCCUGGUAUUGGGUUUUGACACCGCAUGUGUAGGAUAGGUGGGAGGCUUUGAAGCGGGAGCGCUAGCUCUCGUGGAGCCAACCUUGAAAUACCACCCUUGUGAUGUCGGAAUUCUAACCUCUUGCCUUGAAUCAGGCAGAGGAACAUUGCCAGGCGGGCAGUUUGACUGGGGCGGUCGCCUCCCAAAGAGUAACGGAGGCGUGCAAAGGUUCCCUCAGUGCGGUUGGUAAUCGCGCGUGGAGUGCAUUGGCAUAAGGGAGCUUGACUGCGAGACCUACAAGUCGAGCAGGUGCGAAAGCAGGCCAAAGUGAUCCGGUGGUUCUGUGUGGAAGGGCCAUCGCUUAACGGAUAAAAGGUACGCCGGGGAUAACAGGCUGAUCCCGCCCGAGAGUUCACAUCGACGGCGGGGUUUGGCACCUCGAUGUCGGCUCAUCGCAUCCUGGGGCUGGAGAAGGUCCCAAGGGUUCGGCUGUUCGCCGAUUAAAGCGGUACGUGAGCUGGGUUCAGAACGUCGUGAGACAGUUCGGUCCCUAUCCAUCGCGGGCGCAGGAUAUUUGAGGGGAGCUGACCUUAGUACGAGAGGACCGGGUCGGACGGACCUCUAGUGUACCGGUUAUCGUGCCAACGGUAUUGCCGGGUAGCUAUGUCCGGAUGAGAUAAGCGCUGAAAGCAUCUAAGCGCGAAACUCACCCCAAGAUGAGAUAUCCCCUAGCACAAGCUAGCUAAAGGACCCUCGGAGAUGACGAGGUUGAUAGGCCGGAGGUGUAAGCGCGGCGACGCGUUCAGCCGACCGGUACUAAUCGUCCGUGAGGCUUGAUCGGACUUUU
rnacentral:rRNA from 1 species